AACGACUCUCGGCAACGGAUAUCUCGGCUCUCGCAUCGAUGAAGAACGUAGCGAAAUGCGAUACUUGGUGUGAAUUGCAGAAUCCCGUGAACCAUCGAGUCUUUGAACGCAAGUUGCGCCCGAAGCCAUCUGGUUGAGGGCACGUC
rnacentral:rRNA from 3 species